GACGAACGCUGGCGGCGUGCCUAAUACAUGCAAGUUGAGCGAUGAAGAUUGGUGCUUGCACCAAUUUGAAGAGCAGCGAACGGGUGAGUAACGCGUGGGGAAUCUGCCUUUGAGCGGGGGACAACAUUUGGAAACGAAUGCUAAUACCGCAUAACAACUUUAAACAUAAGUUUUAAGUUUGAAAGAUGCAAUUGCAUCACUCAAAGAUGAUCCCGCGUUGUAUUAGCUAGUUGGUGAGGUAAAGGCUCACCAAGGCGAUGAUACAUAGCCGACCUGAGAGGGUGAUCGGCCACAUUGGGACUGUGACACGGCCCAAACUCCUACGGGAGGCAGCAGUAGGGAAUCUUCGGCAAUGGACGAAAGUCUGACCGAGCAACGCCGCGUGAGUGAAGAAGGUUGUCGGAUCGUAAAACUCUGUUGGUAGAGAAGAACGUUGGUGAGAGUGGAAAGCUCAUCAAGUGACGGUAACUACCCAGAAAGGGACGGCUAACUACGUG
rnacentral:rRNA from 1 species